UGAGAGUUGUGGCUCAGUGGUAGAGCAUCUGUUUUGUAUGCAAAAAGUCCCAGGUUCACUCCUCAGCAUCUCAA
rnacentral:tRNA from 1 species